CCCUUAGAUGUCCUGGGCCGCACGCGCGCUACACUGAUGCAUUCAACGAGUUUUACCUUGGCCGAGAGGCCUGGGCAAUCUUUUAAACCUGCAUCGUGAUAGGGAUAGAUCAUUGCAAUUAUUAAUCUUGAACGAGGAAUUCCUAGUAAACGCAGAUCAUCAAUCUGCAUUGAUUACGUCCCUGCCCUUUGUACACACCGCCCGUCGCACCUACCGAUUGAAUGGUCCGGUGAAGCCUCGGGAUUGUGGCCAGUUCACUUUAUUGGGAGUUGGCUGUGAGAACUUGUCUAAACCUUAUCAUUUAGAGGAAGGUGAAGUCGUAACA
rnacentral:rRNA from 1 species